UCUUAGUGAGACUUAUGCGGCAAUAAAAAGUCAAAUUUUUAUGAUACAAUCCCUCCCUUCAAUCAGCUGGACUUUAUGAUUGUGCAAGAAGAGUCUCAUCGGAUUCAUCUUCCUAGAAAUUCAUCACUCAUCGAAACCACUGUUAUGUAUUUAAGUGUUUUGGUAGAAAUGGUUGUCGCAAGUUCACAAUGUGAUCACUGCAAGAUCAAGGAUCACAAGUGGGAGAAUUGUUAUCGGCUUGUUGGUUGUUCCUAGAUUUAAAAUCACCAAGAAAAAAGAGCUUCAGAAAAUCAUGUAUUUGUGACUUCCCUUUUAAUAAUCCCGUGCACCUCCCGUGUCUGAGCAGAGAAAAUCCCUAAUUCAUCCAUGGAUCGAAGGUAGGAAACUGAGCCUUCAAAACUAUAAAUCCUCCCAAGUAUCGUGAUUGUCAUCCAAAUUCGUCCAACGCAUCAAAAGCUAAGUAACCGACUUAUUUUGAUGAUUUACAAUUCGUUUCCCCAAAAUUUUCAAUGGUGCAAUCCUGAACUGACCAUCUUCUUCCAUUUUAGGUGGAGUACUGGAAGGAACCGUCGAUUCCUCGAUCUUCUUUUUCAGCAGACUCGCAUGAAAAAUUGGGUGGAGUUGAGAGUUCUCUGGUUUUUUCCGAAGGCAAGAGAAGUUUGACGAUAUGGUUGAAGCUUGAGGUAAUCUUCAUCACCCUCAUGAAAUUGUCUUUCAGUUCUCUGUUUGUCAGUUUGUUGCUUCAUCAUGUUUUGUGCAUUUUGUAACUAUUUUUUUAAUAAUCUGCCUUAAUUUGUCACGAUU